rnacentral:lncRNA from 1 species
UAACCAAAUCUUUGAGUCUAGCCUUAUUACCCAGUUUGUGCUCAACAGCCUUUGCUGAGAGGGUGACAAGUUGUACUUUAAUUCCACAGAGUAGCAGCAAAAAUACUGACUCCUUGUCUCUAGAUCAACUUUGAUCUCCAGGAUAUUCUAGAAUUAACUGAAUGGCUAACCAUAUAUGAGGUAGGGGAGUGUUUGUCCAGUAACUCUUCUCCCUCUGAGUUACCCCCACGCAAAACCCCCAUUAUUUGUGGCUUUAUUGCACUCUAUUUCCUGAAAUACUAGGAUUCUGGGUCCAGACUAACCAAAUUGUCACCUGCAUCUGGGUCUGAUACCUAGGUCAGGAAGAUGCCCUGGAGAAGGAAAUGGCAACCCACUCCAGUANNNNNNNNUGGGAAAUCCCAUGGACAAAGGAGCCUGGCAGGUUACAGUCCAUGGGGUUACAAAAGUCAGAUACAACUUAGCAACUAAACUACCACCACAGAAAAGAGAAGGAAGUUACAGAAUGUAAAGUCGGGCCUUAGAACUGCAUGCCACAGUCAUUGGUCAGGAGGGAGGGGGCAGGGAUGUGCAUUAAGGAGCUGGCAGCUAGUAACAGGGCUCCACAAAAUUGUAUGAGGAAUGACAACACAACCCUGUACAUUGUCAUCAACACUUGAAACUGACCAACUGAGCUAUGCCAGUUGUCUUAAAUAAAUGCCACCCAAAGUUUCUUCCAUCCUAAAUAUUUAAAGAAUUCACUUCUAGGACAAUACAAUCAGACAAACACUGGAUAGCAAAAUGGAAUUACCAGAUUAAUAAUAGUUAUGAUAACAAUAAUUGGCAGCUAACCAGAGCUGCAGCAUACAGUUAUGCAGACUAUGUGCUGCGCAAUUCAGGGGGCUACACAGCACGACCACCCUAUAGCUAACAUUUAUUGACCAUCUUACCACAUGCCAGGCACUAGAGUAGGUAACGGACAGGGAAGCCUGGCAUGCUGCAGUCCGUGGGGUCACAAAGAGAUGGACACAACUGAGUGACUGAGCGCCAAAGAAUUGAUGCUUUUGAACCGUGGUGUUGGAGAAGAC